CUUGCUUGACACACGCCAAACACAUCAUGGCUUUAACAUGCCUGCUGGUUCCUUUCUGUUCUCACAAUCCUCAUAGGAAAUCUCAAGGGAAAUCUACCAAACAUCUUUCAAAGGAUCCAUUCUGCAAGGAUCUGAAGACAUGGAUCCCCAGGGCCUAACUAGGGAUCACAGAAGGCAAAGUGGGGAGCUCACACUGAACAAACCUCAGCCUUCCUACAGGUUUUUUGUGGUCAAAGGAGCCUAUGCCAGGUGGAUCUUCAGAGCUUGAGCUAAAUACAACUGCUGCUAAUAAACGGGAACUGCCUCAUACAACCUGCCCUGCACAAGAUCUCUGCUGCACUCAACCAACCGAAUGCAAGUAACAUGUUUCUCUUUCCUUGAAUUGGGUAGAUUCCAAUUCUCUGUGCAGUUGCCCCUGUGUAGUCUUUGAAUUACCCCUGCUCUUCCACUCCAGGCCCACCCACGCCUCAAAACUUUGCCUGGUCAUCUUAGCCAGUACUUGGAUCACCCAUCUUCCAGCCAAGCUCCCCCAGGACAGAUCUCCUCAUGCCUUCAGUCUUGCUAUUCCAUUGCUGCCCCCAUCCCCUGCACAGUGCUGC